rnacentral:rRNA from 1 species
AGUGGCGGAAGGGUGCGUAACACGUAGCUCACCUACCUCGAUGUGGGGGAUAGCCCGGCGAAAGCCGGAUUAAUACCGCAUGUGCGAGAGCAAAGCUGCGCAUUGAGAUGGGGCCGCGGCCUAUCAGCUAGUUGGCGGGGUAACGGCCCACCAAGGCAAGGACGGGUAGCUGGUCUGAGAGGACGAGCAGCCACACUGGAACUGAGAGACGGUCCAGACACCUACGGGUGGCAGCAGUCGAGGAUUUUUCUCAAUGGGGGAAACCCUGAAGGAGCGACGCCGCGUGGGGGAUGAAGGUCUUCGGAUUGUAAACCCCUGUCAUCUGGGAACAAUGAUAGUACCGGAAGAGGAAGCCGUGGCUAACUCUGUGCCAGCAGCCGCGGUAAUACAGAGACGGCAAGCGUUGUUCGGAUUCAUUGGGCGUAAAGGGUGCGCAGGCGGUCCGUUAAGUCGGGUGUGAAAUGUCACAGCCUAACUGUGACAGGUCAUUCGAAAC